rnacentral:rRNA from 1 species
UACAGGGGGGGCAAGCGUUGUUCGGAAUUACUGGGCGUAAAGGGCUCGUAGGUGGCCAACUAAGUCAGACGUGAAAUCCCUCAGCUUAACUGGGGAACUGCGUCUGAUACUGUCGGGCUCGAGUCCGGAAGAGGCGAGUGGAAUUCCUGGUGUAGCGGUGAAAUGCGCAGAUAUCAGGAGGAACACCAAUGGCGAAGGCAGCUCGCUGGGACGUGACUGACGCUGAGACGCGAAAGCGUGGGGAGCAAACAGG